UGAAACCCGCCUUGAGGUGGCCUUUUCGUUCGCUGUCCCAAAACAGGCAACAUGGACAAACCUAUUAAACUAGCAAAGGUGACCAAAGUUCUUGGAAGAACAGGAUCACAGGGUCAGUGUACGCAGGUUAGAGUGGAAUUCUUGGACGACUCCAACAGGUCAAUUAUAAGGAAUGUAAAAGGACCAGUACGUGAGGGAGAUGUAUUAACGCUGUUAGAGUCUGAACGUGAAGCUAGGAGGUUAAGAUAACGUUCUUUGGCGUAUUUCAACAUAAUACCAUCACAAUGUUGUAUAUAGAAGUACAAGAAAUCCCAUCUAUACAAGUAUAGCAGUGGUUAGGAAGUGAAGAGCUCUGCUCAUUGAUUCCAUUUCCACAUAUGAUUUAUUUUUAUCUAACACUGCAAAUAAAUCAGAGCAGAUCAAAUUAAA